rnacentral:rRNA from 1 species
AUGGAUUGCAACUUCCUCGUCUGGAAUGUGCGCGGGCUGAAUAACCCUGCUCGCCGUGCUGUCGUUCGCUCUGUUAUCUUCAACAACAAUGUUUCCGUUCUCUGUUUGCAAGAGUCAAAGUUAGAAUUCGUUGAUUUGGGUAUCGUACAGCAGUUUUGUGGGAGCCGUUUCUCUGAUUUCAUCUUCGCACCUUCAGUCGGUACUAGAGGAGGGCUGAUUCUAGCUUGGGACAAUGCAAUGGUCGAUUUCUGCAAUCCGAUCAUUUCUGCUAGUUUCAUUGCUGCUGAAGGCGUUUUUAUUCAGUCAGGAUCGAAAUUCAAGCUGAUCAAUGUUUAUGGUCCGCAAGACGAUCAGGCCAAGUUAGUGUUGCUUGAUGAUCUCAAACAGGUUGUGUCCGGUGGUUUGCCUGUCGGCGCUCCAUGCAUUUUAGCAGGGGAUUUCAAUUUGAUUGCUAGAGCCACGGAUAAGAAUAACCUUAACAUCAACAGGAGGUUAUUGGCUGCUUUCAGAAGCUUCAUCAAUGAGCUGCAACUUCGUGAUCUGUACCUGCACGGACGACGCUAUACAUGGAGUAACGAGCAGGAAAAUGCGACCAUGGUCAAGCUGGAUAGGGUUCUUUUUAAUGAGGAAUGGGAUGCUCUGUUUCCUAGUUGUCUGCUCCAAGCUCUUUCUUCCGAGAUGUCUGACCACUGCCCCCUGCUACUUUCGUGUGAUGCUGACUUCAAGCCAUUCCGAAGAUUCAGAUUCGAGAACCACUGGGUCCGCUUGGAGGGGUUCCAUCAGACUGUUUCUGAGGCUUGGCAGCAGAAUCCCAACUGCAAUGACGCCUGCUCCAGGUUGCACUCAAAGCUUAUUUCCACUGGCCGAGCUCUUCGUAAAUGGAACUCCUGUAUGGUUGGCGAUCUGCGGUUAAGAGCGGCGGUCUCUAGCGAGCUGAUUUUUAUGCUGGACCAGGCCAUGGAUAAGCGCAUGCUCUCGGCCGAUGAGAGACAAUUCAGGGCGAUGCUCAAGGUUAAUUGUCUCGGGAUCGCUGCGCUGCAACGCUCUAUGUGGAGGCAACGUUCCAGGAUCACUCAGGUUCGAGAGGGGCACGCAAGUACGAGAUUCUUUCAGGCAAAAGCGACUGCUAGGAGAAGAAAGAGCUUUAUCCACCGCCUCAUGGUCGAUGGUGUGCCCGUUACCAGCCAAGUUGGAAAGGAACAGGCAAUGUUUGAUUUCUUCUCGCAACUUCUUGGGCGCCGGCGUGUCAGAACUAGCACGCUGAACCUGCAGAAUAUUGAGUUGCCUGCAGUAGAGCUCUCAGAGCUUGAGAGACCUAUUUUAGAGGAUGAAGUCAAGGCUGUGUUGUUCGACCUUGACCCGAGCAAGGCUCCGGGCCCUGACGGUUACUCUGCACUCUUCUUCCAGAGUUGUUGGGACACGAUCAAGUUUGAUAUCAUGGCAGCCAUCAGAGAGAUCGAGAACCUGAAUGCCAGAAAGCUUCAUCUGCUCAAUUCAGCAACUAUCGUGCUUCUCCCAAAGAACCCUGAAGCGUCA